UUUAAAAAGAAGAAAAACCCCAUAGGCUCUAGAGCUCUAGCUAUUGUUUUGAGAAAAAUCAUUGGCCCCUGACUCAGGAGAUGACUGGCAGUUUGGGGGUCGGACUAUCCACACUCUGUGGCUAGUGUGAGGUUUAAGACUCAGAGUCCCUGUGGUCUGUGACUGGUGCAAGGUUUUGACUAAGCGGAGCACCACAGUGCUACCUGGGAGCACAGUGACUCAUGGCUCAACAAAAACCUUCUGUUUGGAGCUUUCCAGGGGCAGCCUGAGCUAUGAGGAAGCAGAGAGGCUUGAGAAAUCAGAUGGAGAAGAGAAGCUCUGAGAGGAAAGGUAGCUUUCUGGAGGGCAGGAGACAGUGCAGAGGAGAAUGAAUUACUGUGGACAGGUCUUGGAUGGGGAAAGGAUGCGCAAACACAGGCAUCAGAAGGGUGGGUGCAGUGUCCCGCAAGGACUUACCAAGAGGAUCCCAGGACAGAGCAGGCAGGUGGGGGUUAUUGGAGGGCAGGGUAGGUUUAGCUCCCUCUCUCCUUUCCUUGCUCCUUCUCCUGUUUCCUUCUUCUCUUCUCUCUUUACAGGGUCUCACUACGCUAGCCAAGGUUAGCCUGAAAGAUACCAUCCUACAGGUGUGCCCAUCCGGUUGAGUUAAGGUGGAGAUCUCUCCAAACAUCUGAGUUGUUGAGGCUUGGACCAUGCUGGGGACACCAAGGGACUUUGGGCUGGGCUUAAAUGGCCCUGGAUGGAAGGUUACUUUACUGUGUCUAUGAUGUCUGGGGCUAGAGGACUCAGGUCACAGUCUCCUCAGGUGAGUUCUGCGUCUGGAGACUGUGCGGUUCAGGUGGGCCAAGGCAGGCCAUGGCGAGAGUUUUAGUAUAGGAACAGAGGCAGAACAGAGGCUGUGCUACUGGUACUUUGAUGUUUGGGGCCAAGGAACCAUGGUCACCGUCUCCUCAGGUAAGAUCUCCUCUGUUGGCUCCUACCUUCUCUGACUGGGAAUCAGCAAAGCCUCUGGGGUCUCUACUUAAUCUGUGUCCGGUGCAGAUGGGAGUCAAGUUUUUGUUUAGCCAGCAGCAGGGACCAUGUCCCUGAGCAAUGCUUUUGCUAUCUGGGGCACUGGAACCCAGGUCAUUGUCUGUUCGGGUAAGCUGGCUUUCUUUCUGCACCUUUCAUUCUGAAACUGGAAAAGAUAUUCCCAGAUCUCCCAUGUUGGGCCAUCUGCACACUCUGCAUCCUGCAGAAGCUUUUCUGUAAGGACAGGGUCUCUGCUCCCAGGAAAAGAGGCAGGCAGAGGCUAGCCGCCUGUGGGACAAUGACAGUCAGAGAAAAUAGGCUUUUACAUUGUUAGGCUGUGUGGGUAGAUGUAGAAGUUUUUGUACACCCACUAAAGGGGUCUAUGAUAGUGUGAUUACUUUGACUACUGGGGCCAAGGAACCAUGGUCACCGUCUCCGCAGGUGAGUCCUUACAACCUCUCUCUUUUAUUCAGCUUAGAUAGAUUUUGCUACAUUUGUCAGGGGGAAAUGUGUGUAUCUGAAUUUUAGCUCAUGAAGGACUAGGGACACCUUGGGAGUAAGGAGGGUCUUUGGGGGCCCUGGCUGACACAGACAGACAUCCUCAGCUCCCAGACAUUAUGGUCAGAGAUUUAAAGGGAUCCUGGCCACCACUGCCGCUGGGUCCCUCUCUUCUGUACUGCCUUUGCCCCUCACUGGGCUCCAUCUGAGAUAAUCCUGGAGCCCUAGCCAAGGACCAUUUAUUGUCGGGGUCUUAUCAUUGUUGUCGCAAUGUGAGGACUGGUUUGCUUACUGGGGACAAGGGACUCUGGUCACUGUCUCUUCAGGUGAGUCCUAAUUUCUCCCGUUCUAAAUGCAUUGGGGGGUGGGGUGGGGGGAUUCUGAGUAUUCAGGACCAAGACUCCCUGAAAAUAGGAGGCAAGAUUCACGACCCCUUUGUCCCAAAGUUGAGACAUGAGUCUGGGAAUCUCUGCCUGCUGGUCUGUGGUGAUAUCAGAACUGAAGUAUGAGGAAGGGUCCGGCAGAACUGAGGCUUGCAGUCUGGGGCAGACUCCUGUCCAGGGUCUGUCAGACUCUUAUGAGAAUUAGGGGCUGACAAUUGAUAGUGACAAUUCCAGGGUCAGUGACUGUCCGGUUUCUCAGAGGUGAGGCUGAAAUAUAGGUCACCUUUAAGACUAAAGAGGGGUCCGGGGCCUUUCUGCCCAGGCAGGGAACAGAAUGUGGAACAAUGGCUUAAAUGAUUGAUUCCUAUCUAACACCAGAAGUCAGCAUAAUGUCAGAGUUGUCCAGGGGUGAUUCUAGUCAGACUCUGGGGUUUUUGUGGGGUAUGGAGGGAAAAUCCACUAUUGUGAUUACUAUGCUAUGGACAUCUGGGGUCAAGGGACCUCAGUCACCGUCUCCUCAGGUAAGAAUGGCCUCUCCAUGUCUUUAUUUCUAACCUUUGCCUAUGGAGUUUUCUGAGCAUUGUAGACUAAUCCUGGAGAUUUGUCUCUGAGGGAGCCAGUGGGAGAGGCUGGGGACUAAACUGUCUAGGGAUCUCAGAGCCUUGGAGAUAGAUAUCCCCACACCUUUGGAAAACUAGGAAUCUGUGUGAUGGUGUUGGUGGAGUCCCUGGAUGAUGGGGCAGGGACUUUGGAUCUCAUUUGAGGGAGAUGCUAAAAAGAUCCCAUGGCCGGAGGGAUAGUUUGGACUGUGGUUGGAGAUUUUUAGUUUUUAGAGUAACAGUAUUAGCUGAGAAAUGUACUUCAGGGCCACCUCUGUGACAGCAUUUGUACAGUAUCCAUUGUACAGGGACAAAGAAUGGCGUGGGAUGAUUUCUUUAGGUUUGUGAGGAAUGUUCCGCACUAGAUUGUUUAAAACUUCAUUUGUUGGAAAGAGAACUGUCUUAGUGAAUGAGGGAAGGGAGGAAGACAUCUAGCCUCUUUCUCAAAAGGGUAGUUGCUAUCCAGAGGAGUCUGGUGAAGCCUGCAAAAGUCCAGCUUUCAAAGGAACACAGAAGUGUGCAUAUGGGAUAUUAGAAGAUGUUUUUACCCUUAAGGUGUUUCCUAAGAAAAAUAGAAUACUGUGACUUUAAAAUGUGAGAGAGUUUUCAAGUAUUCGUUUUUUUUUAAAUGUCCAAAAUUCUUAUCACUCAAUUUGAAGUUAUGUUUGUGUAGAAUUGAUAUUACUGGAAGUUUAAAAAAGGAAUGGGAGUGAGGCUCUUUAGACCCUAUUCAGAACUGACUUUUGACAAUAAUAAAGUUUAAAAUAUUUUAAAUAAAUUGAACAAUGCUGAGUUGGAGUCAAGAUGGCCGAUCAGGACACCUGCAGCAGGUGGCAGGAAGCAGGUCAUGUGGCAAGGCUAUUUUGGGAAGGGAAAACAAAACCACUAAGUAAACUUCUAGCUGUGGUUUGAAGAAGUGGUUUUGAAAUGCUCUGUCCAGCCCCACAGAACUGAAAGUCCAGGCUGAGCAAAACAACACCUGGGUAAUUUGCAUUUCUAAAAUAAGCUGAGGAUUCAGCCGAAACUGGAAAGGUCCUCUUUUAACUUAGUGAGUUCAAUCUUUUAAUUUUAGCUUGAGAAGUUCUAGUUUCCCCCAAACUUAAGCUUAUUGACUUCUAAAAUGUCUAGGAUUCAUUUUCCAAAUUAGGCUAUAUAAGAAAUUGAAGGACUUUAGUGUCUUUAAUUUCUAAUAUAUUUAGAAAACUUUUUUAAGUUACCUUAUUAAUCUUCCCUCUGACUAUUGGUAGCCAUUCAAUUCUUUUCCAAUACCCAAAGCAUUUACAGUGACUUUGUUCAUGAUUUUAUAAGUUAGUUUUGUUUUUUGUUUUGUUUUCUGUUUUGUUUUGUUUUGUUUUGUUUUUUGUUUUUUUGCUUUACUAUUAAGACUUUGACAUUCUGGUCAAAAUGGCUUCAUAAAUCUUUUUCAAGACCAUUUUCUGAGUAUUCAUUUUAAGAGAAAUGCUUUUUUUUUUAAUGAAUGAGUGCAAUUAUCUAGACUUAUUUCAGUUGAGCAUGCUGGUUGGUGGUUGAGAGGACACUCUGUCAGUGCAGUGAGGGGUUCCUAAGCCAGUCUGCAGAGACAUGCUCUGUGUGAACUCCCUCUGGCCCUGCUUAUUGUUGGAGAACUGGUCAAAGGUCUGAGCCCAGGCUGCUGCUGGACAGGCCUGGACUUCGGGUCUUCCAGUGCUACCCAGACCUGGGAAUAGAUGGUUGUGGCUUCUGCCACCCAUCUACCUGGCUGCUCAUGGACCAGCCAGUCUUGAUGGCUUUGAAGGAAUGAUUCCACACAAAGACUCUGGACAUCCACGAAAUCAGGCACCCAAACGGUAAGCCAGAGACAGCCACAGCUGUGGUUGCUGCUCUUAAAGCUUGUACAUGUUUCUGCUUGAGAGGGACUGAGUCUUCUGUCAUUGCUUUGUGGGGAGAAAGAGAGAUUUGUGCGUCUUUUGAGUGCCAUUGUCUGGGUCACUCAUAUUUAAUUUUCUUUGAAAAGCCUGCAAAAAAAUGUUAACCAUUGAUUACAGGGCUCAUGGUACUUUGAGGAAAUCUUAGGGAAAAUGUAUACAAUUGUCUGGAAUUAUUUCAGUUAAGUGUAUUGGUUGAGGUACUGGCGCUGUCCCUUCUUCAGUUAUACAUGUGGUUUUGAAUUUUGAAUCUAUUCUGAUUCUUCUUAGGCAGCAAAUAUAGAUAAAAUGGAUACCUCAGUGGUUUUUAACGGUUGUUUUAAUCUAGAUGGAAUUUAAAUUGGAAGCUAAAUUAGAAUCAGUAAGGAGGGACCCAGGCUAAGAAGGCAAUCCUGGGGUUCUAGAAGAAAAGAUGUUUUUAGUUUUUAUAGAAAACACUACUACAUUCUUGAUAUACAACUCAAUAGUCUAAUGAAUUUGAAGUUGCCAGUAAAUCUAUUUCCUGGUUGUUAAAGAUGGUGUUGAACUACAGUGCUUGGAUCUGAGGUCAGUGUGAGAGGGCAGGGGCUGGGAUGUGAAUACGCAGAAGGAAGGUCACAGCUGGACAGAACGGAGAGCGAAUGGAGACCUACAGCCGAGGCUAGCAGAUCUGCUGGACUAACUCUCCAGCCACAGUAAAGAACCAGAGAAGGCCAGAUUAAUAAAGCUUGCAGAGCAAAAGUCAGUGAACAGGGUUGAGAGCCCCAGUGAGCUGGGCUCCAGGAAGCAUAGCUGAGCUGAGACAGGUGGGCUCCUCUGAGCUCUUCUAAAAUGUGCUAAACUGGGGUACUCAGAGGGAAGCAAAGCAAAGCUUGAGUCUAAACAAGGUAGACCACAAUGAGCUGGGGUGAGCUGGGCCUGCUAAGCUAAAAACUAGGCUGGCUUAACCAAGUAGAGCCAAACUGGAAUGAACUGCAUUGAUCCAGGCUGAAUAGAGGUAAACUCUACUGCCUACACCGGACUGUUCUGGGCUUGGAUGAGCUGAGCUGGGCUGGGUGAGCUGAGCUGGGUGAGCUGAGCUGGGUGAGCUGAGCUGGGUGAGCUGAGCUGGGCUGGGUGAGCUGAGCUGGGUGAGCUGGGCUGGGUGAGCUGGGCUGGGUGAGCUGAGCUGAGCUGGGUGAGCUGGGGGAGUUGAGCUGAGCUGGGUGAGCUGAGCUGAGCUGGGCUGGGUGAGCUGAGCUGAGCUGAGCUGGGCUGAGCUGAGCUGGGUGAGCUGGGCUGAGCAGAGCUGAGCUGGGCUGAGCUGAGCUGGGUGAGCUGGGCUGAGCAGAGCUGAGCUGAGCUGAGCUGGGCUGAGCUGAGCUGGGUGAGCUGAGCUGAGCUGGGUGAGCUGGGCUGGGUGAGCUGAGCUGAGCUGGGCUGGGUGAGCUGAGCUGAGCUGAGCUGGGGGAGCUGAGCUGGGGGAGCUGAGCUGGACUGGGGUGAGCUGGGUGAGCUGAGCUGGGUGAGCUGAGCUGGGCUGGGUGAGCUGAGCUGGGCUGAGCUGGGUGAGCUGAGCUGAGCUGGGCUGGGUGAGCUGGGCUGGGUGAGCUGAGCUGAGCUGAGCUGGGUGAGCUGAGCUGGGUGAGCUGAGCUGAGCUGAGCUGAGCUGAGUGAGCUGAGCUGGGUGAGCUGAGCUGAGCUGAGCUGGGUGAGCUGAGCUGGGUGAGCUGGGCUGGGUGAGCUGAGCUGAGCUGGGCUGAGCUGGGUGAGCUGAGCUGAGCUGGGCUGGGUGAGCUAGGCUGGGGGAGCUGAGCUGAGCUGGGUGAGCUGAGCUGAGCUGAGCUGGGUGAGCUGAGCUGAGCUGGGCUGGGUGAGCUGAGCUGAGCUGGGUGAGCUGGGCUGGGUGAGCUGAGCUGAGCUGGGCUGGGUGAGCUGAGCUGAGCUGAGCUGGGGGAGCUGAGCUGGGGGAGCUGAGCUGGACUGGGGUGAGCUGGGUGAGCUGAGCUGGGUGAGCUGAGCUGGGCUGGGUGAGCUGAGCUGGGCUGAGCUGGGUGAGCUGAGCUGAGCUGGGCUGGGUGAGCUGGGCUGGGUGAGCUGAGCUGAGCUGAGCUGGGUGAGCUGAGCUGGGUGAGCUGAGCUGAGCUGAGCUGAGCUGAGUGAGCUGAGCUGGGUGAGCUGAGCUGAGCUGAGCUGGGUGAGCUGAGCUGGGUGAGCUGGGCUGGGUGAGCUGAGCUGAGCUGGGCUGGGUGAGCUGAGCUGGGUGAGCUGGGCUGGGUGAGCUGGGCUGGGUGAGCUGAGCUGAGCUGGGUGAGCUGGGGGAGUUGAGCUGAGCUGGGUGAGCUGAGCUGAGCUGGGCUGGGUGAGCUGAGCUGAGCUGAGCUGGGCUGAGCUGAGCUGGGUGAGCUGGGCUGAGCAGAGCUGAGCUGGGCUGAGCUGAGCUGGGUGAGCUGGGCUGAGCAGAGCUGAGCUGAGCUGAGCUGGGCUGAGCUGAGCUGGGUGAGCUGAGCUGAGCUGGGUGAGCUGGGCUGGGUGAGCUGAGCUGAGCUGGGCUGGGUGAGCUGAGCUGAGCUGAGCUGGGGGAGCUGAGCUGGGGGAGCUGAGCUGGACUGGGGUGAGCUGGGUGAGCUGAGCUGGGUGAGCUGAGCUGGGCUGGGUGAGCUGAGCUGGGCUGAGCUGGGUGAGCUGAGCUGAGCUGGGCUGGGUGAGCUGGGCUGGGUGAGCUGAGCUGAGCUGAGCUGGGUGAGCUGAGCUGGGUGAGCUGAGCUGAGCUGAGCUGAGCUGAGUGAGCUGAGCUGGGUGAGCUGAGCUGAGCUGAGCUGGGUGAGCUGAGCUGGGUGAGCUGGGCUGGGUGAGCUGAGCUGAGCUGGGCUGAGCUGGGUGAGCUGAGCUGAGCUGGGCUGGGUGAGCUAGGCUGGGGGAGCUGAGCUGAGCUGGGUGAGCUGAGCUGAGCUGAGCUGGGGGAGCUGAGCUGGGGGAGCUGAGCUGGACUGGGGUGAGCUGAGCUGGGCUGGGUGAGCUGAGCUGAGCUGAGCUGGGUGAGCUGAGCUUAGCUGGGCUGGGUGAGCUGAGCUGGGGGAGCUGAGCUGGACUGGGGUGAGCUGAGCUGGGCUGGGUGAGCUGAGCUGACCUGAGCUGGGGGAGCUGGGGGAGCUGAGCUGAGCUGAGCUGAGCUGGGGGAGCUGAGCUGAGCUGGGCUGGGUGAGCUGAGCUGAGCUGAGCUGGGUGAGCUGAGCUGGGCUGGGUGAGCUGAGCUGAGCUGAGCUGGGGGAACUGGGGGAGCUGAGCUGAGCUGGGUGAGCUGGGCUGAGCUGAGCUGGGCUGGGUGAGCUGAGCUGAGCUGGGUGAGCUGGGCUGGGUGAGCUGAGCUGAGCUGGGUGAGCUGGGCUGGGUGAGCUGAGCUGAGCUGGGCUGGGUGAGCUGAGCUGAGCUGAGCUGGGUGAGCUGAGCUGAGCUGAGCUGGGUGAGCUGAGCUGAGCUGGGUGAGCUGGGCUGGGUGAGCUGAGCUGAGUUGGGCUGGGUGAGCUGAGCUGAGCUGAGCUGGGUGAGCUGAGCUGAGCUGGGCUGGGUGAGCUGAGCUGAGCUGAGCUGGGUGAGCUGAGCUGGGCUGGGUGAGCUGAGCUGAGCUGAGCUGGGGGAGCUGAGCUGGGGGAGCUGAGCUGGGCUGGCUGAGCUGGGCUGGGUGAGCUGAGCUGAGCUGAGCUGGGGGAGCU